GAUGAACGCUGGCGGCGUGCCUAAUACAUGCAAGUCGAGCGAACAGACGAGGAGCUUGCUCCUCUGACGUUAGCGGCGGACGGGUGAGUAACACGUGGAUAACCUACCUAUAAGACUGGGAUAACUUCGGGAAACCGGAGCUAACACCGGAGAAUAUAUUGAACCGCAUGGUUCAAUAGUGAAAGACGGUUUUGCGGUCACUUAUAGAUGGAUCCGCGCCGCAUUAGCUAGUUGGUAAGGUAACGGCUUACCAAGGCGACGAGGCGUAGACGACCUGAGAGGGUGAUCGGCCACACUGGAGCUGAGACGCGGUCCAGACUCCUACGGGAGGCAGCAGUAGGGAAUCUUCCGCAAUGGGCGAAAGCCUGACGGAGCAACGCCGCGUGAGUGAUGAAGGUCUUCGGAUCGUAAAACUCUGUUAUUAGGGAAGAACAAAUGUGUAAGUAACUAUGCACGUCUUGACGGUACCUAAUCAGAAAGCCCCGGCUAACUACGUG
rnacentral:rRNA from 1 species